rnacentral:rRNA from 1 species
GAUGAACGCUGGCGGCGUGCCUAAUACAUGCAAGUCGAACGCAUAGCGAAAGGUGCUUGCACCUUUCAAGUGAGUGGCGAACGGGUGAGUAACACGUGGACAACCUGCCUCAAGGCUGGGGAUAACAUUUGGAAACAGAUGCUAAUACCGAAUAAAACUUAGUGUCGCAUGACACAAAGUUAAACGGCGCUUCGGCGUCACCUAGAGAUGGAUCCGCGGUGCAUUAGUUAGUUGGUGGGGUAAAGGCCUACCAAGACAAUGAUGCAUAGCCGAGUUGAGAGACUGAUCGGCCACAUUGGGACUGAGACACGGCCCAAACUCCUACGGGAGGCUGCAGUAGGGAAUCUUCCACAAUGGGCGAAAGCCUGAUGGAGCAACGCCGCGUGUGUGAUGAAGGCUUUCGGGUCGUAAAGCACUGUUGUAUGGGAAGAACAGCUAGAAUAGGAAAUGAUUUUAGUUUGACGGUACCAUACCAGAAAGGGACGGCUAAAUACGUG